rnacentral:lncRNA from 1 species
GCGAUCAUAUAGAAGUAUGGAACUUAGUAUGGUUCAGGUUUUGUAAACCAAUUGUUGCUGAUAAAUCAUCGAAAUCUCCCAAGAAAUCAUCGAAAUCUCCCGAGAAAUCAUCCAUCCAUCCUCUACGUUCCCGAUCCACCGAUGGACCUGGACCUGGACCGCAAGCAAAUCAAGCGUUGCGUCGUCGCCUUCCUGCCGCCGCCGGAGGAGGAGGAUGCCGGUGAGGAGAUCCGUGUGGUGCCGUGCCCUGCCGCUGCUGCGGAGGAGGAGAGGCGGCGAUCUUCCAAGAGGAAGGGGAAGAGGUGCGCCUCCAAUGGAAGCAAGCCUGCGGGGACGCUGGUGCCGGCCGACGGCGAGGAGAUGAUCCUCGUCCCGCCCGGGAAGCUCGCGCUGUCCAAGAAUCUGGUCGACAAGAUCCUCUCCCUGGAGAGGAUGGAGCUGCCCCACGUCGCCGACAUCGUCGACGACGGCAACCCGAACCCGUCGGAGGCGGACAAGGCGCUCAGGAGGUGCGUGCUCGACCUGGACAGGGACAACAAGAGGCACCAGGACAAGCUCGCCGCGUGCCAGGCGAUCAUACGGAGCGUUCGCCAUGGCAAGGGCUACGCCGUCGUCGACAACCGCCUCGACUUCAGGGUCGCCGUGUGCAGGGCCGAGGGCGUCUUCCUGCUCCCCUGCCAUGUCGCCGAUCUUAUCCCCGUGGGAUUUGAUCUUGUCUCCAAUUGAGUACUCCCUCCAUCAUAAAAUUUUUAUAGCAAUCUUAUACCGGAUGUUCUACUACAACAAAUCCUAGAUGUCUUAGUACAACAAAUCGGACAGUAGUAUAUUCAGAUUCGUUGUACUGGAUGGACACAUCCUAGGACAAUAAAUCGGUUGCCAUAUUUUGGGACGGAGGGAACAAAGUAUUUUGGGUGAACGUGACAUAUUCUAAGACAAUAAAGCUAGACAAAUUCUCUUACCAGAUUUAUUGGACAAAUGUGACAUAUGCACCUAAAAUUUCUUAUAUUUUUCACAAUGAAUGCAACUAAAUCUUGACAAGACAAGGAUGCGUAUUUCCAUUUACUAGUACAUGGUCUUCUUAAGUACCACGAUUUGUUAACAUAACAUGGCACCCAUGACAAACAAUGGGAAGAAAUCCCACAUCAUGAAGUAAACAAACACUUUUGGCCCUGUUUUUUUUCUCCAAUAAAAAUUAGAUUAAAUUUUAGAUACUUGUGGCACGCUUUUUAAAUUGUUAAACAAUGUGUUUCGUAUAAAACUUUAUAUAUGAAAGUUGUUCUAAAAUAUAAGAUUAAUCCAUUUAUCAAGUUUGUAAUAAUUAAAACUCAAUAGAUCACACGUUAUUACCAUAUCGUUUUGCGUGAAACACUUAAUCUUCAUCUCCAGGAGAUUCAAACAUCAUCAGUACUGUCUUAGGCUUGAUAGAAAAUAUACUACUUCCUCCUUUGUGUUCCUUCGAUCCAAAGUGUAAACAUUUUUAUAUGUUUUCACAUAAUUAAGAAAUUAGCACUAGUAAAAAACUAUCACGGGUGCCGGUUAGGAACUAUGAUCGGCACCAACAUUAGCAACCUGUAUUAAAAAUAAAACCGGCAUCUAUAUGUUUGCACAAGC